rnacentral:rRNA from 1 species
CAGUCGUACCGGCGGGUAAUCAGCCUUUCGGGUAUGAUUCUGUGGAGUGUGGGGAGCUAAACACCCUCAUGCCUGCAUAUUCGUGCUCUUGGGUGUACUUGCUCGUGUGGUUGGUUAACAUCAAUUUUGGGCGCCGGAAAAGGAUGAGAGGAAUGUGGCAGCUUGCUGUGUUAUAGCCUCUUGUCGUACACGGU